AGAUCAGAGUGGUCAAAGUAUUUCAUAGUUUCCGAGACGUCAUUCAUAAAUCCAAGAACCAGGUCUCCAUCCACAGCUUCAUGACCCAACCUGAGUACGCCGCAGACGAUGAAAUGUCACAGUCCUUCCUGAAUCAAGAGGAAAGUCCUUCGUUGGCUUCUAAGUCGCGGAUUACCAAGCGCCUGUCGGAUGCUGAAACUGUUUCACAGAACAACACGAAUAACAAUGCCGUGGACUGCCACCAAGUGCAAAUCGUUGCCUCCCAUCCCAACAGCCCUCUACAAAGCCAGGAGACACCGGUCUGAACGUCCAUCCUCUGAGUACCGUCCCUGCUCUCCCCUUUUUCUCUUCAUCUGUCCUAUCUGUAUGUGAUGGUGGGACUUGUCAUUGUUUCAUCAGCUGCUCCUAAGCAUGUGAGAACCCCCACCUGACCAUGAAGAAGCACAGACCUACAUGGAUUCGGUCAGACCUUGGGCAGGUAACAGUAGCUCCGCUCCCCAGGCGUACCAGUUGUCAUUUUAAAGAAGUAGUGACAAUCCUCUUGGCGUCGCCCAACCCAAAGUCUCCCCAGCAUCCCCCACACAUGCCACCACCCCCUUCUGACUUGGAGAUUUCACAAGCUAAGUCGUGGGCUCGGUGAGAGACAAACGCCCCAUGUUCGCGUUUCAGUAGAGUGACUAUCCUUAAAAUGUUCUUUCCUAUUUUGAAAAUGUGCACACUAAGGCCUCUAGCUCUUUCUGCCCUUCAGUCUGACGUCCCCCAGGGUUCUUUGGAUCUCACCUGCCCCUUACCAUCUUCCCUUUCAUCCACUCUUCCCACUCUCUUUAUGUCGUGGUAAUUACAAGAAUGGAAAGGGCAUGGCCAAACUGAGUCAAUUUGACCCUUACUGGCCCCAGUAGAACCUUUCAUUUUGUUCCAGAGGCAGGCAGAUUUCUUUUCUAAAAUGGUCUUUUUGGAGCAAAUGAGCUAGUGAAAUAUUUCCCUAUUCUUACCAGGUCAGCACCAACUUCUGAAUGUCUUCUUGGGUGGAUAGGGGUUUUUAAGUGCCAGGGAAAUCAGCCAUGACCAUAGGCCUGAGCUUCCUUCUUGCCUGGGGUGGUAGCAAAGAGUGAGGGGGCCAUGACCCUGCCUUCCAGCUGCUCGAGGAGCUUCAGGAUCAACAUGGGGCAGGCCUAGGACCAGAAGUCACUGAAGCAGACUACUUUCAAGGGUUUCAUUUGUUUGCCAAGGCUCUCCCAGAGCAGGAGCUUCCUUCUGUCGUGGGAGGCGAGGAUGAAUGUUAAGAACCCUUGGGAAGGACUAAAGCGCCAGUCCUUCAGGAGCUACACUUUGUUGUGUCCCACAACAUUUUCCGUCUCUAAGGAGGUCCCCAACUUUUGCAAACAUUCUAACGUUGAAGAGAGGAGGCGCCCAAACAGCAUGCUGAGUCAAGGGGCUAAAGGCCCUCCCUGGAAAGCUUCCUGCCCCCACCCCCAACCUCUCUGUCUUCACAUACCCUCCUCCAGGGUCUGUCUCCACUGCUGCCUGGGAAAGUCUGUGCCUUUCUGCCCUGAACACUGCCCAGAGCACCCUCUGCCCAGCAGCCUCUCGGGAGCCGGGAACUUCACCAAAAGGGACUUUGCCUUACUGGGAUGAGGAGGAAGCACAGGUGCUCCAUGUGUAUCUCGGCUGGCUGAUUUAAGCAUGUUUGUGCAGUGGAUCGAGUCGGUGUCCCCAAGUCCCAUCCACUGUUGGGUUAGUGAAGCCUGCCUCCCUCUUUCUAGGGUGAUGAGAAUAAGAGGGCGAGUGAGGCUCAUGAAAACAGCCAGAUUUCCACUUGGGAAAGAACGGUAAAAUGAGCCUGACCACCUGUAGUCUUUUUUCUAGCAAUCUUCCUCCCACCCCACCUUUCACCCAAGCUGCCAGGGGAGGGUGAGCGAAGGAACAAACACCAUUUCACACCCGUUCCAGCACAGCCCAUCAUUAU
ensembl:lncRNA